UAACGGCUUCCCAGAAUUCAAAAAUUCAAAAUGGCAGCAGUUGCUGGGUGUGCCUGGAAGGGCCGGGGGGGGGCGGUGGUGCCCCUCCCAGGAGCCGCCCCUGGCUCUGAAGGGAGCCCAGCCAGUUUCCACUGAGCGGCCUGCCCGCAGGGGGAGCGCGUGUCCAGGAGGGGGCUGGGACCCCCAUCUCUGUUUUUGGAAAGGGCCCGAUCCUGGGAGGAGGGUCCGGAGCGGCCUGCAGAAGUCGGUCCCUGCCUGGAGAGCUCCUGGGGGCGGCUGGCUGGCUCAGCCUGGAUUUUCUACUUCACUUUACUCGCAAAUAAACAAGCCAGCAACAGCCACAAGAAAGCCUCCUCCCUUUGGGGGACACACACACAGAGACCCAAUCCUGAACAAGAGUUUUGCAGGUGAUCUGAGCUGUUCUUACCCAACAGACUCCAAGGGACUGAACGGAGGCAAGCAACACAGAAGUCCAGGCAAUCGGCACCUCCAGAUUCAACAGAGGCAGCCGUGACCAUUGGGCCCCUGGGGAAGAGAGCUGGCCUUGUGGGAGCAAGCAUGGAUGGUCCCCUUUGCAAAGUGGGGUCCGCCUUGGUUUGCAUUUGGAUGGGAGAUGAUGUGUGAGCACUGGAAGACGUUCCCCUGAGGGGAUGGGGCCAGAGCUCAGGGGAAGAGCACCUUCCUUCAUGCAGAAGAUCUCCACGGACUCCCUGGCAUCUCCAGGUAGGACUGGGAGAUCUUCCACCUCUUCUGCCUGUCAGGAGGAGGUCAGUCCAGCAAGAACCCUGGCUCUUUGAAAGGCAGUCCCCUCCCCACACAAUGCCAGUGGGAUCGAGCAAUUCAAAUUUAAUACGAAGCAAACAACAAGACGCACCAAAGCUCCUAACCUCAAGACGAGGAACAGAUCCCUGCACUGCUGCACAGGCAGAAAGGAGAAGGAGGAGAAAGAAUCCCAAGUCACCGUGUCCCCAGAGAGGAGAUGAGCUGUCCUGUCACAGACCGCACGGCAGGCUCCUCCUCUGGGUCUGGCGGUCAAGGAAAGCCCCGUGACGCCCCAUGACGCCCCACCUCCCUGCUGAAAGAAUGACGGGGUUCAAGCCGGAGCCUGGCCUGGACCCGGCUGCAGAGUGUGGGGAGAGGUGGAGAAGGCCGAACAGUGAGUGGGCUGUCUUUCCAGCCGGGCCACCCCCUGGCCCCACAAUCCCCCACAAGUGGGGGCUCCCCCUCACCUCCAGCAUCCUGAGCUGGGCUCCCCUCCGAUGGCCCUGGCUUGGUGCUCCCUCCAACCAGCGGGGGAGUGGGGCAGGUGGCGAGGGAGAAGAUGGUUCUCUGGGGACUCCGGCUCUGAGGAUGUCCUCGUAGACUGUCUGGGCCCCCAGGUGCCCCACAGUGGCUCCAUCUCCGAGGCUCCCACCAGCUCCAGCCUGGGGUCAGCAUUCAAGGCCAGACUGGGCUCCAGGCCUGCCUCCUCAGAGCCCCCACCUGUGGGGGUCACAAGGGCUCUGGGCUAUUCCUAGAGUCAGCCCCAACAUUCAAAGUCCUCUCGUUCUUGCUCGUAGGGUCCUAGGAAGAGACCCUCUGGUUGGGGGAGAAGACCAGAGAGUUAAUGAGAGAGCGGCUUCGUUUGGGGAAGGGGCAGAGGGCCCUCCCCAUCCGGGGAAAUGGAGGCAGCUUCCAGGCUGGAAUUCCCAAAAGGGAGCAGAAGAAAUGGCUUCACCCACCUGAACUGGGCCACGAGGUGGCAUCAAUCGUCCUCGUCUGUUUGGGAGAGAAGACAAGAGAAUUAACGAGAGCCCGGCUGGGUUUGGGAAAGGGGCAGAGGGCCCUGCCCGUCCCCGGGAAAUGGAGGCGGCUUCCGGGCUGGAAUCCCCAAAGGGAGCAAGAGGAACGGCUUCCCCAGCUGCGGUGGGGCCAGAAGGCCUUCCUCAGGGAGCGCCAUGUUCGCCCUGGGGCAGGAUGGGGAAGCCAAGGCACUUGCUCUGGGGAGGGCACUGGGAGGGAAGAGAGACGGAGGAGCAGGUGGGCUCCUCGGAGACCCCCGGCGGGCCCAGAGGGGGAGCCGCCCAGGCCCAGAGCAGGGAGGGAGCUCUGCCUGCCCCAUUCCCUUGGGGGUGGACUUUACCUUCACUCGAAGUGUCCCCCCCAUCUCCCUUGGCGCGGGCCGUUGUCCGCCCCACCCGGCGGAUGGCCAGGGGGAGCAGCGGCUUGAUGACCUCCGCCUGCAGAGAGAGGGAGGAAAGAAGGCCCGUCAGAGCUCGACUGGGGACCCCGGAACCUGGAAGAGGGCGCUGGGGGAUGCCGGAGCCAGGCCAGGCCAGCGUGGGGGAGACUGACCUCGAAAUGGAAGGGGGGCCCAAUCGCCAGGUUUAAUAGAAACAGGCCCGCCUUCUCCGCCACCGCCACUUCUCUUUGGUCCACUGAAUAGGUGACCAGAUCGAUGGCCUGUAGGACAAAAGGAACUGGGUGGGUCCCACCAAGUAUGCCCAAAGACCCCCAGAGAGCCCUCCACCCCCGAAAAGGUGAUGCUUUGAAAGGAGGUGUGGACUCUGGGAAAGGAUCAAGUCGAGGGAUGGUGGAAGAAGGCAAGAGCUCCAAACCCCACAGAAUAAAGAGAUGAGAGAAGGAUCCCCUCCCCAGGGCUGGAAGAGGCCCCCCUCUCCCCCACUUACCUCCGCCAUUCAAAUGAGGUGGGUCAUGGAGGGCUUCUGGGCCAGCAGCUCCCUCAGGAGGGCCUGGAGGGCCUUUUCGGGGGGCAGGAACGGGCUCUGCAAGGGAGGGAGGGAGGGAGGGGGCCAGAGUGUGGCUGCUGGGGGCCAGAGGGGUCUCCCGGCCCCGCCUCUGUCCUUCCGCUCACGGGGGCUUCAGCCACCAAGCAGGCCCCCCACCGAGGGAGCACCGGCCUUUGCCGGGGGGGGGGCAGGGGGGGAGCGAAGGAGCCCCGUCCCUCUUUACCUGCUGGUCUCCCUGUGGAGCUUCGCCCAGGACGCAGCCCAUGCUGGAGAGGGACCCCCUGAUCACCCUCUCCUCUCUGUCCCAGGAGAAGCAAGGCCUCAUCCGGCUGCCAAGAGAAAAGGGGGAAGAAGGUGAGAAAGCCAGUUGGGCGGGGGGGGGGGGGGAGAGAAUACUGUCCAGAAACUGGCAACGGAAGGGAAAGGUCUCAGUAGCACCCCCCACCCCCAGGGCCCCGCUCCGAGGCUUCCCCACCACACAGGGCAGGAGAAGAAAGCCGGAUCCUCUAUGGCACUCAAGCCGUCUGUCCCUAGGUGGGAGGCCAACGUCUCCAAAGCCAUGGGGCAGUGGGGGGCAUUGCUGAAGGGUGGGGAAAUGUCCUCCUCUCCGUUCCUCCCCAGUCCUUACUUCAAGGACGCCGCCUACGGGGGCUUAGGGUGGGGCUGGUCCCUUCCCAUGUUGGCCCCCAAACUCCCCCUUUCCUCCCUCACUGCCCUGAAGACCUCACCUGCCCCCACGUACCUCAAGAAGGUGAUGGCCUCUAUGCAGAGGGAGAAGAGGGGCUGGGGCAGGGGGUCCUUCCAAAUAGAGGCCGUCUCUUCCUGGGAGGGCAGGAUGAAGACACCCUGGGGGGCUGCCCUCGUCCCACCCCAGAUCCACCCACUGCCCUCUCCGGGCUGGGUUUUGCUGGCUGGGAGGCUGCAGGCACCCCUGGGGCACCCAGGGGGCCCACUCUGCUGGUCUUUCUGGCCAGGAAGGCACGGAUCCUGCGCCACCUAGAAGAGAGUGGGGAGACAGUGAGAAGGAGGCCCUUGGGCAGAACAGUUGGGGGGAGGGAGAGGGGGCCCAGGGGGCGAGGAUCCCUGCAGAGCAGCCAGGAGGGGGAUGCAGGGAGCCUCAACACAGCUAGCACUCUUCAGUGAAUGACGCGGCUCCUGGGUCAGGAACCCACUGGGUGGCUGCCUGCUUGGGCCCAGCCCCUUUGGGAAUCCCGGGCACAGCUCUGGCCAGCCCAUCUCCAAAAGGACAUCUCGGGGCUGGGGAAGGUGCAGAAAGGAGCUCUCCGAAUCCUCAGAAAAGACUCAAGAAGGGAGUGGGUGCUGGAGAAGGGGGUCCCGUGGGACACGGCCUUCUCUGUGACUGCCCCUGGGCUUUGGAAAGGGCUCCCUGUCCAUAGAAGAGCUCCUGCAUCUCUGGCUGCCUUUUAAAAAGCCACUCAAGACACACCUGUUUUCUCAGGCCUUUUUGCUAAACCUAUUAUUAGAAGUGUUUUUAAAGACCAGUUUUAAAAAUGUUGUGAUUCUAAUAUUGGCUGAAUUGAUGUUUGUUUAUGGUUUUCAGUUGUGUACACUGCCUUGAACAUUGACACCAGUUGUGUAUAUAUUGUCUUGCAAACAUUUGUAUUCUUCCUGUGCCUCCAUAGCUCAUCCUGAAGGGUUUGUUUGUGGGUUAAGGUUAAGGGACAAGAGUCCUAGUCAAUCCGUAUUCCUAAAUAAAAACAGAACAGCAGGUCUGCUGGAUCAGGCCCAAGGAGGCCCACCUAGUCCAGCAUCACUGGCCCACCAGAUGCCUCCGAGAAGCCCACAGGCAAGGGGUAAGGGCAUGCCCUCUCUCCUGCUGUGGCUCCCCUGCAACGGGUAUUGAGAGGCAUCCUGCCUCUGAGGCUGGCACUGGCCAAUAGCCCUCUGACUAGUAGCCCCUGUUAGACCUCCCCUCCCCUCCACGAAGCUCUCCUACAAACAAGUCAAGGGGUAACUGCUUCUAAAGCUUUCACUGGGGGAGAUGGCGAUAUAAGCAUCCUUCUCUAGAGGAAGCUCCGGGCUAACUUUUCAAGGCCUGCUCACUCAAAGGAUUGUAAUAUGCAUCUUACGUAAUAAAGUACUUCUCUUUGGUUAAUUGAA